CCGAGUUUACAACUCCCAAACCCCUGUGGACAUACCUUAUGUUGCCUCGGCGGAUCAGCCCGCGCCCCGUAAAAAGGGACGGCCCGCCGCAGGAACCCUAAACUCUGUUUUUAGUGGAACUUCUGAGUAUAAAAAACAAAUAAAUCA
rnacentral:misc_RNA from 1 species